rnacentral:rRNA from 1 species
AUGAUGGAAGACGGCGAAGAAGAAGAGGACGAUGACAACUAUGUGCCCCCUGAAUACGCUGAUGCUGCAAUAGGGGGAGCUGCUGAAGAUCAAGAGGAACCAGACGAUGUGCCCGAUGAUGCUUCAACGGGGGAAGCUGCUAAAGAUCAAGAGGAACCAGACGAUGUGCCCGAUAAUGAUGAUCUCCGCCAAGUCAUUGUCGAUGCAAGGACGCAAUGCGAAAGUCAAAAAGAAAAGCUGAAGUUUGAUUGCAUGUUAGAGGAUCACAAAAAAGGGUUGUACCCCAAUUGCGAAGAUGGCAACACAAAGCUGGGUACCGUACUGGAAUUGCUGUAG